AACGAACGCUGGCGGCAUGCCUAACACAUGCAAGUCGAACGAGACCUUCGGGUCUAGUGGCGCACGGGUGCGUAACGCGUGGGAACCUGCCCUUAGGUUCGGAAUAACUCCCCGAAAGGGGUGCUAAUACCGGAUAAUGUCUUCGGACCAAAGAUUUAUCGCCUUUGGAUGGGCCCGCGUUGGAUUAGCUAGUUGGUAGGGUAAAAGCCUACCAAGGCGACGAUCCAUAGCUGGUCUGAGAGGAUGAUCAGCCACACUGGGACUGAGACACGGCCCAGACUCCUACGGGAGGCAGCAGUGGGGAAUAUUGGACCAUGGGCGAAAGCCUGAUACAGCAAUGCCGCGUGAGUGAUGAAGGCCUUAGGGUUGUAAAGCUCUUUUACCCGGGAUGAUAAGGACAGUACCGGGAGAAUAAGCUCCGGCUAACUCCGU
rnacentral:rRNA from 1 species